AUUGAACGCUGGCGGAAGGCCUAACACAUGCAAGUCGAGCGGAUGAAGGGAGCUUAAUACUGGAUUCAGCGGCGGACGGGUGAGUAAUGCCUAGGAAUCUGCCUGGUAGUGGGGGAUAACGUCCGGAAACGGGCGCUAAUACCGCAUACGUCCUGAGGGAGAAAGUGGGGGAUCUUCGGACCUCACGCUAUCAGAUGAGCCUAGGUCGGAUUAGCUAGUUGGUGGGGUAAAGGCCUACCAAGGCGACGAUCCGUAACUGGUCUGAGAGGAUGAUCAGUCACACUGGAACUGAGACACGGUCCAGACUCCUACGGGAGGCAGCAGUGGGGAAUAUUGGACAAUGGGCGAAAGCCUGAUCCAGCCAUGCCGCGUGUGUGAAGAAGGUCUUCGGAUUGUAAAGCACUUUAAGUUGGGAGGAAGGGCAGUAAGUUAAUACCUUGCUGUUUUGACGUUACCAACAGAAUAAGCACCGGCUAACUUCGUG
rnacentral:rRNA from 1 species